rnacentral:piRNA from 1 species
UGCGUGCAGCGUGGAGAUUGUGGUCCCCA